rnacentral:rRNA from 1 species
GACGAACGCUGGCGGCGUGCUUAACACAUGCAAGUCGAACGGAAAGGCCCUGCUUUUGUGGGGUGCUCGAGUGGCGCACGGGUGAGUAUAACGUGAGUAACCUGCCCUUGACUUUGGGAGAACUUUAGGAAACUGGGGCUAAUACAGGAUAGGAGCUCCUGCUGCAUGGUGGGGGUUGGAAAGUUGCGGCGGUUGGGGAUGGACUCGCGGCUUAUCAGCUUGUUGGUGGGGUAGUGGCAUACCAAGGCUUAGACGGGUAGCCGGCCUUAGAGGGUGACCAGCCACAUUGCGACUGCGGGACGGCGCAGACGCCUACGUGAGGCAGCAGUGGGGAAGAUUGCACAAUGAGGGGAAGCCUGAUGCAGCAGCGCCGCGGGCGGGAUGACGUCCUUCUGGUGGUAAACCACUGUCUCCUGUGACGAAGCGUGAGUGACGGUAAUUGGUAAAGAAGCACCGGCUAACUACGUG